rnacentral:lncRNA from 1 species
CCUUCACUGUUUGAUGCAAAUUUUCACACUUGACUUAGGUGCAGAGAUCCGGUUACUAAGCUUAGGGUAAUCCACAUAUACUCUAUGUUUUGCACUUUUAUUUAAGACAUGUAGCUCUUUCCUUAAAUUAAAAUUUUUGAUUGGAGUAUAUAUCAAUCAUCAAUUUUAAAUGAUAAUUGAGUCCUCAGAUGGCCUCUCAAUCAGCACUUAUUUUGCCUUGUCAGUGUGCAUGUGUAAUUAGAAGUGCUAAUAUCCUUUAGAUGAUCUAAGUAAAUUAUUAAAAGUAUGCCUAGCUAAUCUACUCCUUAACUCACUACAGUUAUUAGCAAAUACUUUCUAACUCUUAUUAUUCUUUUUCUAGUCUAUUUUACUCAAGACACGAUUUAUUCAUUUUUUUUUAUCCUCCAACAUAAAUUUAUUAUUUCUAUGCAAGAAAAAGAAAGAUGUCACCUGGUGAAUAUGUGUUCUUUGUUGGAGAUGAUCUUGGUGUGAUGUUGGUCUCAAGUCCGAAGCCCAAAGAUUGAUAUCUUUAUUUAUUCAAUAGAAAAAAUGUUAGUUUUUAAAAAAAAUUGAGUUGCCUCCCAGAAGCACUAAGUUUAAUGUCUUCAGCCAGAUAAAAUAUUUCAAGCAAUUUAAUCAUGAUAAGUUGGCUCAUAGAGAACCAUGACUUCGUCAAUAGAUUCUUUGGAUAAUUUCAAGAAUGAUUUUAAUCUUUGACC